rnacentral:rRNA from 1 species
AUUGAACGCUGGCGGCAUGCCUUACACAUGCAAGUCGAACGGCAGCACGGGUGCUUGCACCUGGUGGCGAGUGGCGAACGGGUGAGUAAUACAUCGGAACGUACCUUAUCGUGGGGGCUAACGCAGCGAAAGAUGUGCUAAUACCGCAUACGCCCUGAGGGGGAAAGCGGGGGAUCGCAAGACCUCGCGCGAUCACAGCGGACGAUGCCUGAUUAGGUUGUUGGUGGGGUAAAAGCCCACCAAGGCGACGAUCAGUAGCUGGUCUGAGAGGACGAUCAGCCACACUGGGACUGAGACACGGCCCAGACUCCUACGGGAGGCAGCAGUGGGGAAUUUUGGACAAUGGGGGCAACCCUGAUCCAGCAAUGCCGCGUGAGUGAAGAAGGCCUUCGGGUUGUAAAGCUCUUUUGUCAGGGAAGAAACACCGGCUCUAACACAGUCUGGGAAUGACGGUACCUGAAGAAUAAGCACCGGCUAACUACGUGCCAGCAGCCGCCGUAA